AAAGGGGAGCAAUCCCUGAGUACAGUGGCGUACGGGUGAGUAACACGUGGAUCAUCUACCUUCUAGUGGGGAAUACCCCUGGGAAACCGGGGACAAUACCGCAUGAGCUCGUGAGAGGAAAGCCGAAAGGCGCUGGAAGAGGAGUCCGCGGCUGAUUAGCUAGUUGGCGGGGUAAUGGCCCACCAAGGCGAAGAUCGGUAGCCGGCCUGAGAGGGCACACGGCCACACUGGCACUGAAACACGGGCCAGACUCCUACGGGAGGCAGCAGUGGGGAAUCUUGCACAAUGGAGGAAACUCUGAUGCAGCGACGCCGCGUGAGCGAUGAAGCCCUUCGGGGUGUAAAGCUCUUUCGACGGGAACGAUAAUGACGGUACCCGAAGAAGAAGCUGCGGCUAACUACGUGCCAGCAGCCGCGGUAAUACGUAGGCAGCAAGCGUUGUUCGGAAUUACUGGGCGUAAAGAGUGCGUAGGCGGUGCUCUAAGUUUGGUGUGAAAUCUCCCGGCUCAACUGGGAGGGUGCGCCGAAAACUGGAGUGCUCGAGUGUGGGAGAGGUAAGCGGAAUUCCUGGUGUAGCGGUGAAAUGCGUAGAUAUCAGGAGGAACACCUGUGGUGUAGACAGCUUACUGGACCACGACUGACGCUGAGGCACGAAAGCGUGGGUAGCAAACAAGAUUAGAUACCCUGGUAGUCCACGCCCUAAACGAUGCAUACUUGGUGUGAGCCAUUCAUUUGGUUCGUGCCGGAGCUAACGCGUUAAGUAUGCCGCCUGGGGAGUACGGUCGCAAGGCUG
rnacentral:rRNA from 1 species